UGGGGGAUAUUGCGCAAUGGGGGCAACCCUGACGCAGCAACGCCGCGUGAAGGAUGAAGGUUUUCGGAUUGUAAACUUCUUUUAUUAAGGACGAAACUUGACGGUACUUAAUGAAUAAGCUCCGGCUAACUACGUGCCAGCAGCCGCGGUAAUACGUAGGGAGCAAGCGUUGUCCGGAUUUACUGGGUGUAAAGGGUGCGUAGGCGGCUUUGCAAGUCAGAUGUGAAAUCUAUGGGCUCAACCCAUAAACUGCAUUUGAAACUGUAGAGCUUGAGUGAAGUAGAGGCAGGCGGAAUUCCCCGUGUAGCGGUGAAAUGCGUAGAGAUGGGGAGGAACACUAGUGGCGAAGGCGGCCUGCUGGGCUUUAACUGACGCUGAGGCACGAAAGCGUGGGUAGCAAACAGGAUUAGAUACCCUGGUAGUCCACGCUGUAAACGAUGAUUACUAGGUGUGGGGGGUCUGACCCCUUCCGUGCCGGAGUUAACACAAUAAGUAAUCCACCUGGGGAGUACGGCCGCAAGGUUGAAACUCAAAGGAAUUGACGGGGGCCCGCACAAGCAGUGGAGUAUGUGGUUUAAUUCGAAGCAACGCGAAGAACCUUACCAGGUCUUGACAUCCAACUAACGAAGUAGAGAUACAUUAGGUGCCCUUCGGGGAAAGUUGAGACAGGUGGUGCAUGGUUGUCGUCAGCUCGUGUCGUGAGAUGUUGGGUUAAGUCCCGCAACGAGCGCAACCCUUGCUAUUAGUUGCUACGCAAGAGCACUCUAAUAGGACUGCCGUUGACAAAACGGAGGAAGGUGGGGACGACGUCAAAUCAUCAUGCCCCUUAUGACCUGGGCUACACACGUACUACAAUGGAUGUUAACAGAGGGAAGCAAGACAGCGAUGUGGAGCAAACCCCUAAAAACAUUCUCAGUUCAGAUUGCAGGCUGCAACCCGCCUGCAUGAAGAUGGAAUUGCUAGUAAUCGCGGAUCAGCAUGCCGCGGUGAAUACGUUCCC
rnacentral:rRNA from 1 species